UGGGGAAUAUUGCACAAUGGGCGAAAGCCUGAUGCAGCGACGCCGCGUGAGGGAUGACGGCCUUCGGGUUGUAAACCUCUUUCAGUAGGGACGAAGCGCAAGUGACGGUACCUGCAGAAGAAGCACCGGCUAACUACGUGCCAGCAGCCGCGGUAAUACGUAGGGUGCGAGCGUUGUCCGGAAUUACUGGGCGUAAAGAGCUCGUAGGCGGUUUGUCACGUCGUCUGUGAAAUCCUAGGGCUUAACCCUGGACGUGCAGGCGAUACGGGCUGACUUGAGUACUACAGGGGAGACUGGAAUUUCUGGGGUAGCGGUGGAAUGCACAGAUAUCAGGAAGAACACCGAUGGCGAAGGCAGGUCUCUGGGUAGUAACUGACGCUGAGGAGCGAAAGCAUGGGUAGCGAACAGG
rnacentral:rRNA from 1 species